rnacentral:tRNA from 1 species
AUUUAUAUAGUUUAAGAAAAACAUUACAUUUUCAGAGUAAAAUUAAAAUUAUAUUUUAUAAAUG